rnacentral:lncRNA from 1 species
GCCACUAUCAUCUUGCUCUUCCAUCCCCCAAAACCAUGACAAGAAAAAGGAAUAGGAACAAGGGGAACACCAGGGACAUCAGAGGAGUGGACAAAGAGAGGACUCGUAGAAUCAAUAGAAGAGGUAUUAUUAACAUUCAUGUUUAAUAUCAUGAAUAUCAGUGAAAUGGAGAUCAAAACAGUCUUUGUAAAAAGUUUGGAACACUAGAUUUGCAUCAAAAACACAUGAAAAUAUUUAACUAAGAGUGAGAAUAGAUUUACCCUACUUCUUCACGACCGGAGAAGAACAGACUUCAAUACACAGUGAAUUCCUUAGCUCCGAAUGACAGAAACCCUAGAAUUUGAGACCUCGCCGGAAUCAAGCCCAAAACGUCGGAAAGCUACCCAAAACACCGAGCCUAGGAAGAUGUGACCAGCUGAAAGCAGAAGAAGCUUCGAUUCACCAUUCGAUUCACGUCGGGUUCACCAACAACCAAAUAUCCACAGAAACUUCCAAAAAAAACUUCAACACGAACAGAAACGAGUUGACGAAGGAUGACGGAGAAGCAUCCCAAAAUCCCCGCUCUGAUCCCAUGAAAACGUGCUAAGAAGAUUGGAUGAAAAUGGAGCUUCCUUCAUUUUAUUCCAGAGAGAACCCUCAUACAAUGUCUCAG